GACGAACGCUGGCGGCGUGCCUAAUACAUGCAAGUCGAACGCAGUGGGGACGGGUGAGUAACACGUGGGUAACCUCCCAUCAGAGGGGAUAACACUUGGCAACAGGUGCUAAACCGAUAUUGGUGGAUGGACCCGCGGUGCUUUAGCUAGUUGGUGAGGUAACGGCUUACCUAGGCCACGAUGCAUAGCCGACCUGGAGGGGUGGUCGGCCACACUGGGACGGAGACACGGCCCAGACUCCUACGGGAGGCAGCAGGAGGGAAUCUUCGGCAAUGGACGAAAGUCUGACCGAGCAACGCCGCGGGGGUGAAGAAGGUUUUCGGAUCGUAAAACUCUGUUGUUAGAGAAGCGGUAUCUAACCAGAAAGCCACGGCUAACUACGGGCCAGCCGCCGCGGUAAUUC
rnacentral:rRNA from 1 species